GUUCAUUUUGUUUAUGAAUUGAGAAAAAUUACAUCAGAUGAAUUAAAGAUUCACCCCUUAGCAUAAUUAUCUCUAUCAUUCAUCUUCACCCAUUCUGUUGUGCAAAAUAGUUACACAGUGGAUGUAAGCUUCAAACGAAGACAAAAUAAAUUCCAGUUUGUUAAGACCUUCCUGCAGCCGGCAAAGCUUUGGAGGUAGCGAGAUCUCCGGGAUUCCUAAAGGAACGCAAUGUGAUGUGAGAGAAUAAUUGGAAACACAAACUCAGCCAGGUCGUGUACACUUUUCUCAUCAUUUUCUCACAAAAUGACAGGGAGGCAGAUUCAACUGAUUAUCCCCCGCUCUCUGGGAGGGAAUCACUGAUUUGGUUUUUAUCCUAUUGUCUGACAGAACAGCUUAUGACGACCCCGGGUUCCACUUUUGUGUUUAUGCAAAUGAUCUUGUAAAGGAAUUCAUAAACAAUGAACAGUAA